rnacentral:rRNA from 1 species
ACGAGAAGCUUGCUUCUCUGAUGUUAGCGGCGGACGGGUGAGUAACACGUGGAUAACCUACCUAUAAGACUGGGAUAACUUCGGGAAACCGGAGCUAAUACCGGAUAAUAUUUUGAACCGCAUGGUUCAAAAGUAAAAGACGGUCUUGCUGUCACUUAUAGAUGGAUCCGCGCUGCAUUAGCUAGUUGGUAAGGUAACGGCUUACCAAGGCAACGAUGCAUAGCCGACCUGAGAGGGUGAUCGGCCACACUGGAACUGAGACACGGUCCAGACUCCUACGGGAGGCAGCAGUAGGGAAUCUUCCGCAAUGGGCGAAAGCCUGACGGAGCAACGCCGCGUGAGUGAUGAAGGUCUUCGGAUCGUAAAACUCUGUUAUUAGGGAAGAACAUAUGUGUAAGUAACUGUGCACAUCUUGACGGUACCUAAUCAGAAAGCCACGGCUAACUACGUGCCAGCAGCCGCGGUAAUACGUAGGUGGCAAGCGUUAUCCGGAAUUAUUGGGCGUAAAGCGCGCGUAGGCGGUUUUUUAAGUCUGAUGUGAAAGCCCACGGCUCAACCGUGGAGGGUCAUUGGAAACUGGAAAACUUGAGUGCAGAAGAGGAAAGUGGAAUUCCAUGUGUAGCGGUGAAAUGCGCAGAGAUAUGGAGGAACACCAGUGGCGAAGGCGACUUUCUGGUCAUCAUCUGACGCUGAGGUACGAAAGCGUGGGUAGCAAACAGGAUUAGAUACCCUGGUAGUCCACGCUGUAAACGAUGAGUGUUAGGUUCUUGGAAUAUUCUGGGAGCCGCAGCUAACGCAUUAAACACUCCGCCUGGGGAGUACGCACGCAAGUG